ACGCACGCUGGCGGCAUGCCUCACACAUGCAAGUCGAACGAGACCUUCGGGUCUAGUGGCGCACGGGUGCGUAACGCGUGGGAACCUGCCCUUAGGUUCGGAAUAACUCCCCGAAAGGGGUGCUAAUACCGGAUAAUGUCUUCGGACCAAAGAUUUAUCGCCUUUGGAUGGGCCCGCGUUGGAUUAGCUAGUUGGUAGGGUAAAAGCCUACCAAGGCGACGAUCCAUAGCUGGUCUGAGAGGAUGAUCAGCCACACUGGGACUGAGACACGGCCCAGACUCCUACGGGAGGCAGCAGUGGGGAAUAUUGGACAAUGGGCGAAAGCCUGAUCCAGCAAUGCCGCGUGAGUGAUGAAGGCCUUAGGGUUGUAAAGUUCUUUUACCCGGGAUGAUAAUGACAGUACCGGGAGAAUAAGCUCCGGCUAACUCCGUG
rnacentral:rRNA from 1 species